UACAGAGGUCUCAAGCGUUGUUCGGGUUCAUUGGGCGUAAAGGGUGCGUAGGCGGCGCGGUAAGUCGGGUGUGAAAUCUCGGAGCUUAACUCCGAAACUGCAUUCGAUACUGCCGUGCUUGAGGACUGGAGAGGAGACUGGAAUUUACGGUGUAGCGGUGAAAUGCGUAGAUAUCGUAAGGAAGACCAGUGGCGAAGGCGGGUCUCUGGACAGUUCCUGACGCUGAGGCACGAAGGUCAGGGGAGCAAACGGG
rnacentral:rRNA from 1 species